AUUGAACGCUGGCGGCAGGCCUAACACAUGCAAGUCGAACGGUAACAGGAAGAAGCUUGCUUCUUUGCUGACGAGUGGCGGACGGGUGAGUAAUGUCUGGGAAACUGCCUGAUGGAGGGGGAUAACUACUGGAAACGGUAGCUAAUACCGCAUAAUGUCGCAAGACCAAAGAGGGGGACCUUCGGGCCUCUUGCCAUCGGAUGUGCCCAGAUGGGAUUAGCUAGUAGGUGGGGUAACGGCUCACCUAGGCGACGAUCCCUAGCUGGUCUGAGAGGAUGACCAGCCACACUGGAACUGAGACACGGUCCAGACUCCUACGGGAGGCAACAGUGGGGAAUAUUGCACAAUGGGCGCAAGCCUGAUGCAGCUAUGCCGCGUGUAUGAAGAAGGCCUUCGGGUUGUAAAGUACUUUCAGCGGGGAGGAAGGGAGUAAAGUUAAUACCUUUGCUCAUUGACGUUACCCGCAGAAGAAGCACCGGCUAACUCCGUG
rnacentral:rRNA from 1 species